UACAGAGGUGGCAAGCGUUUGUUCGGAAUUACUGGGCGUAAAGGGCGCGUAGGCGGCCAUCUAAGUCAGACGUGAAAUCCCCCGGCUUAACCUGGGAACUGCGUUCUGAUACUGGGAGGCUUGAGUAUGGGAGAGGGAUGUAGAAUUCCAGGUGUAGCGGUGAAAUGCGUAGAUAUCUGGAGGAAUACCGGUGGCGAAGGCGGCAUCCUGGACCAUAACUGACGCUGAGGCGCGAAAGCUAGGGGAGCAAACGGG
rnacentral:rRNA from 1 species